rnacentral:rRNA from 1 species
AGCGAACGCUGGCGGCAGGCCUAACACAUGCAAGUCGAGCGGCCGUAGCAAUACGGCAGCGGCAGACGGGAGAGUAACACGUGGGAACGCGCCCUUCGGUUCGGGAUAACUCAGGGAAACUUGGGCUAAUACCGGAUACGCCCUUACGGGGAAAGAUUUAUUGCCGAAGGAACGGCCCGCGUCCGAUUAGCUUGUUGGUGAGGUAACGGCUCACCAAGGCGACGAUCGGUAGCUGGUCUGAGAGGAUGUCCAGCCUCACUGGGACUGAGACACGGCCAAGACUCCUACGGGAGGCAGCAGUGGGGAAUAUUGGACAAUGGGCGCAAGCCUGAUCCAGCCAUGCCGCGUGGGUGAUGAAGGCCCUAGGGUUGUAAAGCCCUUUCAGCGGGGAAGAUAAUGACGGUACCCGCAGAAGAAGCCCCGGCUAACUUCGUGCCAGCCGCCGCAGUAACAC